rnacentral:rRNA from 1 species
UACGUAGGCAGCGAGCGUUGUUCGGAGUUACUGGGCGUAAAGGGUGUGUAGGCGGUUGUUUAAGUUUUGGGUGAAAUCUCCCGGCUCAACUGGGAGGGUGCGCCGAAUACUGAAUGACUAGAGUGCGGGAGAGGAAAGUGGAAUUCCUGGUGUAGCGGUGAAAUGCGUAGAUAUCAGGAGGAACACCGGUGGUGUAGACGGCUUUCUGGACCGUAACUGACGCUGAGACACGAAAGCGUGGGUAGCAAACAGG